GGGAUUGUAGUUCAAUUGGUCCCAGCACUGCCCUGUCAAGGCAGAAGCUGCAGGUUCGAGUCCCGUCAGUCCCG
rnacentral:tRNA from 1 species